ensembl:lncRNA novel transcript
UGCCGUGGCGCCAUCUCAGCUCACUGCAACCUCUACCUCCUGGAUUCAAGUGAUUCUCCUACCUUAGCCUCCUGAGUAGCUGGGACUACAGGCGUGCGCCACCACCCCUGGCUAAUUUUUGUAUUUUUAGUACAGAUGGAGUUUCACCACAUUGGCCAGGCUGGUCUCGAACUCCUGACCUCAAGUGAUCCACCUGCCUUGGCCUCCCAAAGUGCUGGGAUUACAGGCGUGAGCCACACUGCACCCAGCCUGGUAAAGGUUUUUUAAACAGCCUUCUUUCUUUUUUAACUUUUAUUGUUGCCUGAAAUUCUUUAUUUUUAUUUGUUUGUAAAUGUUUUCUAGCCUAUCUGUUCCAGAAAACUAGGAGAAAUAUUUAUGCUAGACAUAAAGCUAUAAUCUUGCAAACAGGCUGAAAAUAACUUUUUUAAAACUUAGAUAAUCUUCAGUUUGCUAUGACCGAAGUUUAAAAAUAGUUUUAUAUCUGCCUAUAUAUUUCUAUAUUAUGGAUAUUUAGUUUAAGAAUUGUUUGGACAGAUGUUUUUUGAGACAACUACAUUUACAAAGAUUGUACUUGGUGUCUACAAAAAAGCUUUUGCGAGCUUCCGGCGGGGAGGAGCCAAGAUGGCCGAAUAGGAACAGCUCCAGUCUACAGCGCCCAGCGUGAGCGACGCAGAAGACGGGUGAUUUCUGCCAUUUCCAUCUGAGGUACCGGGUUCAUCUCACUAGGAAGUGCCAGAGAGUGGGCACAGCCAUCCUACAGGAAAUUUUGCUCACUCCUGAGCUAGAGAAAGGUCAGAAAGAGCAGCAGCAGAGUCAAGAGAAAGAAGACAUGGCCAGAAGUCACAGGACAUAAGGACAGCCUCUGUUUCACCCUCCCCAAGGCUGAAGUAGGUCUCCAUUUUGCCCUAUUUUCUAGAAGUAGACACAUGCUACAAAGGAAUAAUGAGCUUUACAGUUUGCAUUGAAUUUUAUACACUAUGGAGAAUGGGGGUUACAUAGCACAGAUCACAGAUUUUCAAAAUCUGCUAGUGAGGGCUGGGUGCAGUGUCUCACACCUGUAAUCCCAGCACUUUGGGAGGCCAAGGAGGGCAGAUUACCUGAGGUUCUGAGUUUGAGACCAGCCUAGCCAACAUGGUGAAACCCUGUCUCUACUAAAAAUACAAAAAUUAGCUGGGCAUGGUGGCGCACGUCUGUAAUCCCAGCUACUCUGGAGGUUGAGGCACAAUAGUCACUUGAACUCAGGAGGCAGAGGUUGCAGUGAACCGAGAUUGCACCACUGCACUCCAGCCUGGGAGACAGAGCAACACUCCAUCUUGGGGAUAAAAAAAAAAGGCUCUAAUCUGUUUUGUUUUUUUCCCUUUCUUCCAACUGGAUAAUUUAUAUUGGUCUAUCUUCAAGUUAAUUGCCUUUUCUCUGUCAUUGCCAUUCUGCUACUGAGCUCAUCUGGUGAAUUUUUUAUUUUAGUUCUUAUAUUUUUCAGUUCUAAAAUUUCCAUUUGGUUCUUUUUUUAAUGCUUUCUACUUCUUUGCUAAGAUCAUCUAUCCCUCUGUUCAUUUCAAGAGGCUUUACCUUUGUCUCAUAGAGACCAGUUAUAAAAGCUGCUUUAAAAUUUUUGUAUUGUAAUUCCAACAUUUGCAUAAACUUGGAUGUGAUGGUUAACACUGAAUGUCAACUUGAUUAGAUUGAAGGAUACAAAGUAUUGAUCCUGGGUGUGUCUGUAAGGGUGUUGUCAAAUUAACAUUUGAGUCAGUGGGCUGGGAAAGGCAGGCCCACCCUUAAUUUGGGUGGGCACAAUCUUAUCAGCUGCCAGCGCUGCUAGAAUAUAAGCAGGAAGAAAAGUAACCUCCCAGCCUACAUCUUUCUCCCAUGCUGGAUGUUUCCUGCCCUCAAACAUCAAACUCCAAGUUCCUCAGUUUUGGAACUCGGACUGGCUCUCCUUGCUCCUCAGCCUGAAGGUGGCCUGUUGUGGGACCUGUGAUCAUGUGAGUUAAUACUUAAUA